rnacentral:rRNA from 1 species
UCAUGUAAGAUUUUAAAAGUCGAACAGACUUAAUUUUUAAAUUUCUUCAUUUAAAAUUUAUCUUAAUUCAACAUCGAGGUCGCAAACAUCUUUAUUAAUAUGAUCUUUAAAAAGAUAUUACGCUGUUAUCCCUAAGGUAAUUUAUUCUUUUAAUUUAUAGUAUAAGAUCAAAAUUCUAUUCUUAAAUCAAAGUUUAUUUUUAAAAUAAAGUUAAUUUUAUUUACUAAUCCUCCCAACUAAAUAUUAAAAUUUUAACUAAAUAAUUAAUAAAAUUUUAAUAUAAAAUUCUAUAGGGUCUUAUCGUCCCAUAAAAUUAUUUAAGCAUUUUUACUAAAAAUUUAAAUUCAUUUUAUAUAUAUGAGACAGUAUAUAUCUC